UCCCAGCCCAGAUAAGCAUGCAUGUCUUAGUACUCGCUGUUGCAUAGCGAAACCGCGAAUGGCUCAUUAAAUCAGUUAUAAUUUAUUAGAUCGUGCGUUCCUAUUUGGAUAACUGUGGUAAUUCUAGAGCUAAUACAUGCAACUGGCCCUGACUCACGAAGGGGCGCUUUUAUUAGAUCAAAACUAAUCAGGGAAACCUGUAGUUGUGAUGACUCUGGAUAACUUUAUGCCGACCGCAUGGUCUUGUACCGGCGGCGUAUCUUUCAAAUGUCUGCCCUAUCAACUUUCGAUGGUAUGUGAUAUGCCUACCAUGGUUGUAACGGGUAACGGAGAAUCAGGGUUCGAUUCCGGAGAGGGAGCCUGAGAAACGGCUACCACAUCCAAGGAAGGCAGCAGGCGCGCAAAUUACCCACUCCCGGCACGGGGAGGUAGUGACGAAAAAUAACAAUGCUGGGCUUCAAGUCCGGUAAUUGGAAUGAGUACACUUUAAAUCCUUUAACGAGGAUCUAGUGGAGGGCAAGUCUGGUCCCCCCGUGCCCCCGCCCCGCCCGGGGCGCGCCCCGGGCGAGG
rnacentral:rRNA from 1 species